UGCGAGUUGCGGCCGGGACAGGCUGGGUCUGAUAAUCCUUUGGUCGUGGGUUCAAGUCCCACACUCCCUA
rnacentral:tRNA from 1 species